CAUGUAGGCGGUUGCUUAAGUCGGACGUGAAAGCUCCUGGCUCAACUGGGAGAGGCCGUUCGAAACUAGGUAACUCGAGGAUGGUAGAGGAGAGUGGAAUUCCCGGUGUAGUGGUGAAAUGCGUAGAUAUCGGGAGGAACACCAGUGGCGAAGGCGACGUCCUGGCCCGCACCUGACGCUAAGACGCGAAAGCGUGGGUAGCGAACG
rnacentral:rRNA from 1 species